AUUGAACGCUGGCGGCAGGCCUAACACAUGCAAGUCGAACGAGUGGCGGACGGGUGAGUAAUGUCUGGGAUACUGCCUGAUGGAGGGGGAUAACUACUGGAAACGGUAGCCAAUACCGCAUACUAUCAGAUGUGCCCAGAUGGGAUUAGCUUGUUAGUGGGGUAAUGGCUCACCAAGGCGACGAUGACUAGCUGGUCUGAGAGGAGGACCAGCAACACUGGAACGAGGACACGGUCCAUACUCCUAUGGGAGGGAGAAGUGGGGAAUAUUGCACAAUGGGCGCAAGCCUGAUGCAGCCAUGCCGCGUGUAUGAAGAAGGCCUUCGGGUUGUAAAGUACUUUCAGCGGGGAGGCGUUACCCGCAGAAGAAGCCCCGGCUAACUCCGUGCCAGCAGCCGCGGUAAUUC
rnacentral:rRNA from 1 species